CAUGUUCCCGUACUAUUACCGAAGUUAAGCAACGUCGUGCCUGAUCAGUACCAUGAUGGUUGACCGCUUGGGAAUACCAGGCGAUG